rnacentral:rRNA from 1 species
UACGUAGGCAGCAAGCGUUGUUCGGAGUUACUGGGCGUAAAGGGUGCGUAGGCGGCUAUUUAAGUUUGGUGUGAAAUCUCCCGGCUCAACUGGGAGGGUGCGCCGAAUACUGAGUGGCUAGAGUGCGGGAGAGGAAAGUGGAAUUCCUGGUGUAGCGGUGAAAUGCGUAGAUAUCAGGAGGAACACCGGUGGUGUAGACGGCUAUCUGGACCGUAACUGACGCUGAGGCACGAAAGCGUGGGUAGCAAACAGG